CUGGGAAUCGAGCGGAGCCGCGCUUUUAAGCUCCACGACCUUAUCUCUCAUACCUCAGCCGCCUGGCCUGAAGCGAAGCUGUCUUGCCCGAGAAGAGAGUGGUCACGGUGUCGCGUGGUAACAAAGCUUAGGACGAGGAGAGCCUACAUGAGAAAGGACGUCCUCCGGUUUCUAGACAUUGGAAAGUCGAAGAUUAAGGUCCCAGCCUAUUCUGUUCCCUGUCCAGGACCCUUUUCCUGUCUUGCAGAAGAGAGGAAGGGAAAGGGAGAGAAAAUCAUUGAUCGCUGCCUUCUGCACACCUCCUACUGUGGAUGGAACCUGCAACCCAGACAUGUGCCCUGACCGUGAUUUGAAUCGUGACUCCUAGUGUCAUAGAUCAAUACCCAACCACUGAGCUACACCAAGUCUCCCAUCAGGAUAAAGCAGCAUCUGUCAUGCAAAUACCGCCCUGUGCAGAAGUGAGGGAAGACUGCUGCAGAAGUGAAUACAGGCAACAUCUUUGAUCCCAGGGCACAGGUCUUUGAGAGGAAAUCUCCAAGCCUCUCGAAGAGGCAUUAGAAGGCUAUCCAGGCAGCAAAAGUACCUCAGGUGAAAUGCAGGGAGUUUCUGUAUAAGGGCUUUCGUAUUCUGCAUUCUUCUAGAGCCCUUUGUGAUAAAUGUCGCUGGGUGGAUUGCAUGAUUUGGUGUGGCUUCAUGGGGAUAUGCACAUGAUAGAGAACAUGAUCUCUGCUUGCCAAAUAAUGUAGAGCCUAAGGAGAAAAUCCGUAAUCAGUAUUGAGACUGCUCUUAAGAACUGUUCUAGAUUUCAAGCCCGUUCUUCCUGGUUCAUCAGAGAACUACCAGAUAUUUUUCUC